UUGAGCAAUACCGGCCCCAACACUAACCCGUGAGGGACACCUCUUGUUACCUGUCUACAGUUGGACAUUGAGCCGUUGACCACAACUCUUUGCAUGCGGCCAUCCAGCCAG